GUGAAAUAACCUGGGACUUGACGUCCCAAACCAUCUCACAUCCACACACCUUUGUGCACUGUUGGAUGGGCCUAAUAAAUAUAUAUAUAUUUUGGGGCCUAUUCUAUUAUCUUACAAACAUCUUAUGUAUGUAAGGAAAGUGUUAUAAAAAUCAAAAUAAUAAUAA
rnacentral:misc_RNA from 1 species